GCUUACAGCCACACUACACUGCACAGCCUGUUCUCGCCUGAUCACAGAGAAACUAAACAGUGUCAGGCCUGGUUAGUACGUGGGUGGGUGACCACCUCGGAAUACCAGGUUCUGUAAGCA
rnacentral:rRNA from 1 species